rnacentral:rRNA from 1 species
AGGGAAACCGAGUCUUAACCGGGCGUUAAGUUGCAGGGUAUAGACCCGAAACCCGGUGAUCUAGCCAUGGGCAGGUUGAAGGUUGGGUAACACUAACUGGAGGACCGAACCGACUAAUGUUGAAAAAUUAGCGGAUGACCUGUGGCUGGGGGUGAAAGGCCAAUCAAACCGGGAGAUAGCUGGUUCUCCCCGAAAGCUAUUUAGGUAGCGCCUCGUGAAUUCAUCUCCGGGGGUAGAGCACUGUUUCGGCUAGGGGGCCAUCCCGGCUUACCAACCCGAUGCAAACUGCGAAUACCGGAGAAUGUUAUCACGGGAGACACACGGCGGGUGCUAACGUCCGUCGUGAAGAGGGAAACAACCCAGACCGCCAGCUAAGGUCCCAAAGUCAUGGUUAAGUGGGAAACGAUGUGGGAAGGCCCAGACAGCCAGGAUGUUGGCUUAGAAGCAGCCAUCAUUUAAAGAAAGCGUAAUAGCUCACUGGUCGAGUCGGCCUGCGCGGAAGAUGUAACGGGGCUAAACCAUGCACCGAAGCUGCGGCAGCG